rnacentral:rRNA from 1 species
GAUGAACGCUGGCGGCAUGCCUAAUACAUGCAAGUCGAACGAGAGGAAGGAAAGCUUGCUUUUCUGAAUCUAGUGGCGAACGGGUGAGUAACACGUAGGUAACCUGCCCAUGUGCCCGGGAUAACUUCUGGAAACGGAUGCUAAAACCGGAUAGGUAGCAGACAAGCAUUUGACUGCUAUUAAAGUGGCUAAGGCCAUGAACAUGGAUGGACCUGCGGUGCAUUAGCUAGUUGGUGAGGUAACGGCCCACCAAGGCGACGAUGCAUAGCCGGCCUGAGAGGGCGGACGGCCACAUUGGGACUGAGACACGGCCCAAACUCCUACGGGAGGCAGCAGUAGGGAAUUUUCGUCAAUGGGGGGAGCCCUGAACGAGCAAUGCCGCGUGAGUGAGGAAGGUCUUCGGAUCGUAAAGCUCUGUUGUAAGAGAAAACGACAUUCAUAGGGAAUGAUGAGUGAGUGAUGGUAUCUUACCAGAAAGUCACGGCUAACUACGUGCCAGCAGCCGCCGUAA